UUGAAUGACGUCAUCGGAGAUCCAGAUUUUCCUAAAAGGCUCAUAACUGGUAACGAAACAUAGGUAUAUGGUUAUGUGGGAGGUGAAAAUCAAGGCAGUAACAUAUAGAAAUGAAGGAUCCAAAUUAUGUUUGAAAAAUCAUAACUACAGCACUGAUCUCUAGUUCAAACCAGGUUUAUACUCCAAUGGGUGAAAAAAGAAUCCAGAACUUGAAGAAAUGUGUGAAAAAAAUUCAGGAAUAAAUAUUAAAAGGACAUAUUUUUCCUAAAAAGAAUGUUAGUAAGUAGAACUUGCUAUUUUUUUCUGUCAAUAAGUCCAGACUUGUCUAUGCCCUAUUUUCAAAGCUAUAUUUGUUACUGUUAUUUAUUUAUCAACUGAUGUAAAACUGUUAAAUUCUCAUUUAAUAAUAAUUUACAAAGUUAA